AUUGAACGCUGGCGGCAUGCUUUACACAUGCAAGUCGAACGGCAGCGGGGAGGAGCUUGCUUCUCUGCCGGCGAGUGGCGCACGGGUGAGUAAUACAUCGGAACGUGUCGAGAAGAGGGGGAUAACCACCCGAAAGGGUGGCUAAUACCGCAUAAAUUCUGAGGAAGAAAGCUGGGGACCUAGGAAUAGGCCUAGCGCUUUUUGAGCGGCCGAUGUCGGAUUAGCUAGUUGGUGAGGUAAAGGCUCACCAAGGCGAAGAUCUGUAGCGGGUCUGAGAGGAUGAUCCGCCACACUGGGACUGAGACACGGCCCAGACUCCUACGGGAGGCAGCAGUGGGGAAUUUUGGACAAUGGGGGCAACCCUGAUCCAGCCAUGCCGCGUAUAUGAAGAAGGCCUUAGGGUUGUAAAGUACUUUUGUUAGGGAAGAAAAGUCAGCUGUGAAUAAUGGCUGAUACUGACGGUACCUAAAGAAUAAGCACCGGCUAACUACGUG
rnacentral:rRNA from 1 species